CAGAAAACACUUCCUGAACUGCUGCCAUAGCACGUGAUUGUGUGAUGGCUAAUCUUGAUUAUCAAGUUAACACACCUGAGAAAGUGAAUCUCUACGGAAGAAAUGGCUUCAUUAGAUAUUUCAGCCAUACAGGGAACCUUAGCACUACCAGUCUGCAUUGGUGAAGAUAGAAGUAAAAGAGAAGAAGCCAUUAUUUUAUGUGUUUAUGGCAAGAACAGAAUAACUUCACACAUGGAUAUUCCUCCUCAGUUGAUAUUGUGCUAAGCAGUUUCAUUUUGAAUGGAAGGUGGCUUUGCUUCUUUUCCUCACUCCCAGUGUCCUCCCAAGUUCUUCUGCCAUGCUAAUCCCUGAUUGCAUAAUAAGAACCUGGACCAAUCAAAAUUUUGGAUCAAGCUAUGGUGGUAGCUCUGUUCCAUGAUGUUAUUGAAGUUAACUACUGGCCCACUCACAGAGAACCUUCAUCCAGCAACUGAUGCAGAGAUCCACAGCUAAGCACAGCCGAGCUCCCAAAGUCCAGUCGAAGAGAGGUUGGACCGAUUAUAUGAGCAAAGGAGUCAAGACUAUGUUGGGGGAUACCCACAGAAACAGCUGAACUGAGCUAGUGGGAGCUCACGGUCUCUAGACUGACAGUGGAGUAACCUGAUAUAGGACCAAACCAGGCCCUCUGAAUGUGGGUGGGUGACAGUGGUGUGGCUUGAGUCUGUGAGCCACUGGCAGUGGGACCAGGAUUUAACCCCAAUGGUUGAACUGGCUCUUUGGAGCCUAUUCUCUUUGCAGGGAUGCCUUUCUCAGUUUAGAUAGAAGGGUGAAAGCCUUAGCCCUGCCUCAAAAUAAUGUGC
rnacentral:lncRNA from 1 species